rnacentral:tRNA from 1 species
GCCGAAGUGGCGGAAUUGGCAGACGCGCCAGAUUCAGGUUCUGGUGCCCGUAAAGGGCGUGGAGGUUCAAAUCCUCUCUUCGGCA